rnacentral:pre_miRNA from 1 species
ACCGUAGGGCUAUGGUCCAAAGCCAGUGAAGUCAAUGGGAAUCUUUCCAUUGACUUCAAUGGGUUUUGGAUCAAGCCCUAGAUGA